AUGAACGCUGGCGGCGUGCCUAAUACAUGCAAGUCGAGCGAACGGACGAGAAGCUUGCUUCUCUGAUGUUAGCGGCGGACGGGUGAGUAACACGUGGAUAACCUACCUAUAAGACUGGGAUAACUUCGGGAAACCGGAGCUAAUACCGGAUAAUAUUUUGAACCGCAUGGUUCAAAAGUGAAAGACGGCCUUGCUGUCACUUAUAGAUGGAUCCGCGCUGCAUUAGCUAGUUGGUAAGGUAACGGCUUACCAAGGCAACGAUGCAUAGCCGACCUGAGAGGGGGAUCGGCGGCACUGGAACUGAGACACGGUCCAGGCUCCUACGGGAGGCAGCAGUAGGGAAUCUGCCGCAAUGGGCGAGAGCCUGACGGAGCGACGCCGCGUGAGUGAUGAAGGUCUUCGGAUCGUAAAACUCUGUUAUUAGGGAAAAACAUAUGUGUAAGUAACUGUGCACAUAUUGACGGUAACUAAUCAGAAAGCAACGGCUAACUACGUG
rnacentral:rRNA from 1 species